UAAUAUCUGGUGAUGUCACUCCCUUGUU
rnacentral:piRNA from 1 species